rnacentral:rRNA from 1 species
CUUUGACAACUCUAGAGAUAGAGUCUUCCCCUUCGGGGGACAAAGUGACAGGUGGUGCAUGGUUGUCGUCAGCUCGUGUCGUGAGAUGUUGGGUUAAGUCCCGCAACGAGCGCAACCCUUAAGCUUAGUUGCCAGCACUAAGUUGGGCACUCUAAGUUGACUGCCGGUGACAAGCCGGAGGAAGGUGGGGAUGACGUCAAAUCAUCAUGCCCCUUAUGAUUUGGGCUACACACGUGCUACAAUGGACAAUACAAAGGGCAGCUAAACCGCGAGGUCAUGCAAAUCCCAUAAAGUUGUUCUCAGUUCGGAUUGUAGUCUGCAACUCGACUACAUGAAGCUGGAAUCGCUAGUAAUCGUAGAUCAGCAUGCUACGGUGAAUACGUUCCCGGGUCUUGUACACACCGCCCGUCACACCACGAGAGUCUGUAACACCCGAAGCCGGUGGAGUAACCAUUUAUGGAGCUAGCCGUCGAAGGUGGGACAAAUGAUUGGGGUGAAGUCGUAACAAGGUAGCCGUAUCGGAAGGUGCGGUUGGAUCACCUC